rnacentral:rRNA from 1 species
GUCUUAAUGAAUUUAAUUUUAAGUCGAUCUGCCCAAUGAUAAAAAUUUAAUGGCUGCAGUAUAUUUAACUGUACAAAGGUAGCAUAAUCAAUUGUUUUUUAAUUAAAAACUAGAAUGAAAGAAUUAAUGAGAUAUAUACUGUCUCAUAUAUAUUUAAUGAAUUUAAAUAUUUAGUAAAAAUGCUAAAAUUAUUUUAUGGGACGAUAAGACCCUAUAGAAUUUUAUAUUAAAAGUUUAAUUAAAGAAAAUUAAUUAUAUUUAUUAAUAUUUAAUUGGGAGGAUUAGUAAAUUAUAAAAACUUUAUUUUAAAAUUAAACUUAGAUUAAAGGAUAUUUUAGAUCUUGUAUUAUAAAUUAAAAGAAUAAAUUACCUUAGGGAUAACAGCGUAAUAUCUUUUGAAAGACCAAAUUUAUAAAGAUGGUUGCGACCUCGAUGUUGAAUUAAGAUAAAUUUUAAAUGCAGGAGUUUAAUAAUUAAGUCUGUUCGACUUUUAAAAUCUUACAUGAUUUGAGUUCAAAUCGACGUAAGU